UGGUGCGGGGCUGGUUUGGGUCUAGGAAUUCUUGACCCGCAAAAAGCGGGUUUUGCCGGAUGGGGCUUGCACGGUACCGGGUUUAAAGCGGGAUGGCCCGUAACAACCGCGGGAAGGCCCAGAUGAACCGCUAGACGCUUCAGUUGCUUUCGUCACCUGAAAACAAAACGAAAGAGAGAGUGGGACGAGAUGGAGCUCCGACGAGGCCGUGGGAAGAGAUGACUAUGAUGGCCAUGGGAAGAGAUGGAGCUCCGACGAUGACCGUUCGAUGUCCGACAGGCGACAAUGCUUCUGGUGACCACAUCGUGUUCAAUCUGCAGCAGAGGAGCUUCUCUUCCUUUUCGUUCCACCAAAAGUGAUCAGAGCAACUGUCCCUAAGCUGCUUCUUGAUUAUGUCUUCUCUGCUUCAUCAAGCCACCACCGGUGCUUCUCUGCAUUAUCAAGCCACCACCGGAGCUUCUCUGCUUCAUCAAGCCACCACCGGUGCUUCUCUGCAUUAUCAAGCCACCACCGGAGCUUCUCUGCUUCAUCAAGCCUCCACCGGAGCUUCUCUGAUGCAACGGAUCCAAGUCCAGAACCUCCUGAAGCAAAAAUUAACUGAGAGGAAAUUUGUUGAGAGGCUUGUCCCAUCUUCAUCAGCUUUUUCUUUGCUAUCAGGAACAUGGCUGAGAAAGUACCGUCAUUUAAAAUCGGUGGAACUCUUUGGUUUACUGAUCUAACCACUGCAGAUACUACAUAUAUCUUGCCACUUCUCACCGCCAUCACUUUCAUAAUUAUGGUGGAGUCGAACAUGCAGGAAGGUAUGGAAGGGAAUCCAGUAGCUGGAACUAUGAAGAAAUUCUCAAGAAUCAUUGCCUUUCUCUCUCUUCCAAUUCUGAUGGGCAUUGAAAAGGAAGAGGUAGACAGUGUAAUAUCCGAUAUCCCGCGGGAUGGCCCGCGAAGGCCUACAAAGAAUGCGGUAUGGGAUUGGGCAGCCUACAGGCCCGCCGUGUCCCGCCCGAAGACAAACCCGCAGCGGUCCGGGACAGGACGGGAGAACCCAAUUGACAUCUCUAUCCACAAUGUAGGUGUUCAAAAAAAAAAAAUUCCACAAUGUCUUUGUUGUGCCAUCUUUAUAUUCUACUAGAUAUGAACCCGUGCGUUGUAACAGGUUUUGUUUGAUAUUUUAAUUUAA